rnacentral:rRNA from 1 species
AACGAACGCUGGCGGCAUGCCUAACACAUGCAAGUCGAACGCGUGGCUUCGGCCACGAGUGGCGCACGGGUGAGUAACGCGUGGGAACCUGCCCAUCGGUACGGAACAACCGCGGGAAACUGCGGCUGAUACCGUAUAUACCCUGCGGGGGAAAGAUUUAUCGCCGAUGGAGGGGCCCGCGUCGGAUUAGGUAGUUGGUGGGGUAACGGCCUACCAAGCCUGCGAUCCGUAGCUGGUCUGAGAGGAUGAUCAGCCACACUGGGACUGAGACACGGCCCAGACUCCUACGGGAGGCAGCAGUGGGGAAUAUUGGACAAUGGGGGCAACCCUGAUCCAGCAAUGCCGCGUGAGUGAAGAAGGCCUUAGGGUUGUAAAGCUCUUUCGGCGGGACGAUGAUGACGGUACCGCAGAAGAAGCCCCGGCUAACUCCGUGCCAGCAGCCGCGGUAAC